rnacentral:rRNA from 1 species
UACGGAGGGAGCUAGCGUUGUUCGGAAUUACUGGGCGUAAAGGGCUCGUAGGCGGCCAACUAAGUCAUACGUGGAAUCCCUCGGCUUAACCGGGGAACUGCGUCUGAUACUGGAUGGCUUGAGUUCGGGAGAGGGAUGCGGAAUUCCAGGUGUAGCGGUGAAAUGCGUAGAUAUCUGGAGGAACACCGGUGGCGAAGGCGGCAUCCUGGACCGAUACUGACGCUGAGGAGCGAAAGCCAGGGGAGCAAACGGG